UUGAGCUGUUGGGGCUGGGUUGGACUCGAUGAUCCUGAAGGUCUCUUCCAACCCAGUGACUGUGAAAUCUGUGAUUCUGUGAAUUCUGUGAUUCUGUGAAUUCUGUGAUUCUGUGAAUUCUGUGAAUUCUGUGAAUUCGGUGAGGUGCUGCUCCCUCCAGGUGCCACCCAGGAGGGACUGAGGCUGGCUGUGCGUCCUCCUCCAGGGCCAGGUGACAAGAGGUGGCACAGGGAUGAGUUUCCAGGCGGGUUUGGGGCUGUGGGGUGCAGGGGAAGCAGCUGAGCGCCCUGCAGGUGCUGGAGGCUGCUGGGGCUGCAGCUGGCACCUGCAACGAUGGCAGGGCUGCUGGGGAAGGGAGCUGGGCCACGGGGAGCCCUGGAAGGAGCAGGACAACUCCCAUUUUUUGAGAAGUUUUGGCUGGGAUUAGAGCUGCUUGCAAGAAGAAUUUUUGCAUUCCCAGAGGGGAGGAAGGCCAAUUGUCAACUGCAAGAUUAGCAAUGCAGUCAGCUGGUGUUUUAAAUAACAGGAGAGAUUCUGGAACGUGAAAACAAAUUAAUCCUUGCCAUGGAUGAGAAAGCGUUACCUGAAAUUUUUGUUGUGUAUUUAGAGCUUAGCAACAGAUGCUGCACCUGGAAAAAAGGGAAUUUACAGAGAGGGUGGGAAGCAAAUCCUGAAGUGGGUUUGUCCUCUGUUGUCCAAGGAAGAGGAAUUCUGCAUUUCCUGACAGCAGAAGGCACAAAGGUGAUGCUCAGAGGUGUUUGAUCACCACCUGUGAGUGCAGAGAUUUCAUCUCUGUGAAAUCUGUCUCCUCUCUUCCUGUGCUGCAGGCAGCUCCAAAACAUCUCUGCUCUUUUAUUUUGCGCUUUCUAAAUAAUACCUAAGAAGGAGAUAGCUGAUAAGGAGGUAAUUUUAUGUUUUGCUUUAAGUGUGCAUCAUUUUCCCUUUCUGUUGUGACAUUGAUUUAUGUAUUAUGCCAGAAAUAGAAAAUGUGUAUGGAAAGAGCAGCAGCAUCCCACACAGAACCACUCAAUUCAGCCUGGAAAGUCACUCACAGGAUUUAAAAUCACAUCACAGGGCUUUUUGCUCUUAGACUUCACCUUUCAUUACAAAAUAAGUUUCUAUUUUUUCCACUGUCCUGCCACCUUCAGUUGAUCCAAUUCUCCCUGCUCUGUAAUACAGUCAUUAAAUAUUGACUCUAAUCCUUGAUUUUUAGUGUAUUAAUUGUC
rnacentral:lncRNA from 1 species